UACGUAGGGGGCUAGCGUUGUCCGGAAUCAUUGGGCGUAAAGAGCGUGUAGGUGGCUCGGUAAGUCCGCUGUGAAAGUCCAGGGCUCAACCCUGGAAAGCCGGUGGAAACUGUCGAGCUCGAGUCCGGAAGAGGCGAGUGGAAUUCCUGGUGUAGCGGUGAAAUGCGCAGAUAUCAGGAGGAACACCAAUGGCGAAGGCAGCUCGCUGGGACGGUACUGACACUGAGACGCGAAAGCGUGGGGAGCAAACAGG
rnacentral:rRNA from 1 species